rnacentral:rRNA from 1 species
CCUACGGGGGGCAGCAGUGAGGAAUAUUGGUCAAUGGGCGCGAGCCUGAACCAGCCAAGUCGCGUGAGGGAAGACGGUCCUAUGGAGUGUAAACCUCUUUUGUCGGGGAGCAAAAGACGCCACGCGUGGCGUUCCGAGAGUACUCGAAGAAAAAGCAUCGGCUAACUCCGUGCCAGCAGCCGCGGUAAUACGGAGGAUGCGAGCGGUAUCCGGAUUUAUUGGGUUUAAAGGGUGCGCAGGCGGAAGGUCAAGUCAGCGGUAAAAUUGAGGGGCUCAACCUCGUCGAGCCGUUGAAACUGGUUGUCUUGAGUGAGUGAGAAGGAUGCGGAAUGCGUGGUGUAGCGGUGAAAUGCAUAGAUAUCGCGCAGAACUCCGAUUGCGAAGGCAGCAUACCGGCGCUCAACUGACGCUGAUGCACGAAAGUGUGGGUAUCGAACAGGAUUAGAUACCCUGGUAGUC